ACUUGGUUCAUUCACAUUCAUACUUUCAUCCACUUAUUAAUCCAGCAGAUAUUGAGGGCACAGACCCCAUGCUAAAUCAAAAGAAUGUUUUAACUUAACUUGGGGUUUACACUAAAUUAAACUUCCACAAGCAAAAUAACCUUUGUUACCAAAGGAAACAAGUAUCCCGUGUCACAUGCUUACUCCAGUCUCAGCUCCUGAAGACAGAGAGAGAUGUCCCUUGGCAUGGGACCCAGGGCUGCCCACAGAACCUUGCAUGUAGCUUCAGCAGGAAGAUCCUGGUUUCCAUCCCCUCUACCAGUUUACGCUGGGCAGUUGGACCUCGGGCUGGCUCUCAAGCGUUGCCUCUUCUGAUCACUUUCACAAAUGUGGGGGCUGCCUUGCUGACCCGUCCUGGUUCUGCUCCUGCUCUGUCCACACUGGGCUGGGGUGCCCCCAUCCGUUCUGCCCAGGCAGCUCCUAACCUGUUGCACCCCUUGGUCGGUCUUUGCUGCCCUUUUACAGGCCAGUCUUUACACCAGGAGAAAGGACUGCAAAAGAAGUUCUGAGCCCUUCAUGGGGGACAGUCAGAAACUCCAGUUCAAGGUGGGACCAUCUUCCAAUGUGCAAAGGGGAACAUUAGCGAAGGAAUGUGGCUUGCAAGGAUGCGCUGCCAUGCUGCUGUGUCCGUGGCUCUGGAAAAGGCCUCCAAGGCUCCUAAAACCUCCUCGGUGCCUACUAAUGUGGGAAACCUCUUUAAAACAUUCAGUUGCAUAAUUGGAGAAAAGUAAUUGAAGAAAAGGUUUAAAUUGUCUUGUGGGAGGCAAUAGCUUGACUAACAUUCCUACUUAAAAAUAAGUGACGAAACUCA